UUUGGGUGGGUUAUUUUUGAUAGCAAUACAUAAUUGUAAACGUUAUGAUAGUGUUAGUCCCGCGACACUCAGAAAAAUUUAGGUUCCAAAACUUUUUUCCCGACAACAAUUUUGCCUCCAAGACAAAAAAAAAAAAAAAUCCCCAAAUACCCAGAACCCUAAACUUUCAUUUGUUCUUCCUCUCUCACACAAAUCGACAAUCUUUGCCGAAACCCACUCUCUUCCACACAAAUCUCAUCCAAAAUAUCUAAUCCCAGAUCUAAAAUUUCAUGUUCUUUGUAAUCUCAUAUCCGAAAAUCUCACUCUUUCGAGCCAAAACACUGUAAUCCAGCUUCCUUUUUUCGCUAGAUUGUUGUUGGUUCUUCCCGUAAAGGUACUAUGGUUUUUCUGAGUUGAGUCGAUUUAUUCUUUUUGUUUUCUGUUGUAGUUCGAUUUAAGCAAAAAGAGAAGACAAUCUAGCAGGUAUCUCACUCAAACUUGAUUUCUAUCAGAUCUUGUUCCUUGUUGUUGUUGUUGUUGUUGUUGUUGUUGUUUUGGCUUAACGUGAGUGACUCUGAUAAUUACUUGUAAACCGAAAAGUCAGUCACUCUGCAUCCCUCUAAGUCUCAGUCCCUGUCAGGCGCAAUUCCUGGCUUAACGUGAGUGACUCUGAUAAUUAUUUGGGUUUGAUCCGUUUCGGUUGUUUUGCUUUGUUGCAGGAAUAUUUCAAUUUCAGUAGAGUGUAAUUGAAAUAAUUACUGGUAGUUAAAUCUAUUUUUGAUUGGGUUUUCGAUUGAUGUGUUAUGAGUUGAAUAGAUUUUUUUGUUGUGUAGUUUAUCUUUGACGUCAUCGUGAUUCCGGAGCUGAAUGGACGAGCCUAGGAAAAAACUCUAUUCUCAUCACCAAAGAUGAUGGAUAUUAUGGUUAAGGAAGCUUCCUCAUGUGACCUUAAGGAUCUUGUUGCUAAGUUCAUUCUUGCUCGAAGCUAUUGGCAGGGAGAUUGAGAAGGCAACUCAGAGCAUCCACCCUCUUCAUAACGUUUUCAUCCGUAAAGUCUAGAUUCUCAAAGCACCCAACUUCGACCUUGGCAAUCUUUAUGGAUAUGAUAUGAGUUAAGAAGAUAAACACUAACAGCAAAAAGGGCAAGCCACAACAGAUGAAAUGAAGUUUGAAAUUGGAUUCAUAUGUAUUUGUUUCUUUCUAAAUUUUGACUAUUUACACUAUUAUUUUUUUUUACAUUUGGUUUGUGCCUUGUGGUUUAGAAUACAUAAUUGAAAAUAUAAUUUUCUAGUUUUA